UGGGAGCAAGAGGUUGUGGGGCCAUGGUGGAAGGCUUAACGGGACCAAUUUCUGGAACAUUCGGGACUGCGACACCUGACAGCCGGACCGAGAUUUGGGUCUCCGCAGGCGAGGAUGGGUGGUCCGAUGGGCUUCAGGACUUGAUGGCGUAACCCCCUUCUUCCCCCACGUAUGUAUUUGCCGGGAUCGGGGGCGAUAUCUCUGCGUAUGUGGGCGCUCUGUCUUUCUCACCUUCUUUCUCACUUUUUGCUAUUUUUUUUUCUUUGAGGGAGGGCUUUUUUCCACUUUAAUUUCUUUUCCCUUAGUGUCAGCUGCUCAAACCUGACCGGGGAAGAGGAGAGAGGAGCAAGCUGUCCCUAGCGUCCCAUCUGACCUCCCAGGCUUUACCCUCAUUUCUUUCCAUCGGACAGACAUGCAGACUGGUUUCCAGGUUAAGCGUCAGCAUCUGUCUGUCUGGCCAUGCAGCCCUCAGGUGAAAGGUAGAGAGUGAGGAGGAGAGGUGCUGAGAGGAAGGCCGGAGCACACUUUCCCAGGGCUGCCUUACUAGAAGGAUCGGUCCUGGGAAUCUGGGGCUGGUGGGGAGCAGGUGGUCAGGGUAGGGUGUGGGCUGGGAGAAGUGGGGUAAAGCUAGUAGGUUUGUCACUGCGUAGUUGGGGAAAGUGGGGAAUGGUGACGCAGUCACUGUUGCAUCUUGUUAGGAGCUCUAGGAGGACAGGUAGUGAGGCACCCGGGGUCUGUUGGGCCAGCUGAGAGGGCUUACUGAUGAGCUGAGAAGGGAAGCUAGCAUUUAGAGAUUAAAUGUCAUCCUUUUGGCGUUGGAAAGUUGUUUACCUUGCGCUCUCUGUGUCUCCAUGUUGGCACCCUUCCAGUUCACAUGUGAUGGCCUUCCUUGUACUGCUGCAUCAUUAACUAAGUGACUGAGCUGGCCUUCCAUUGGCCAGGGGAGGGUUCUCACUCCAGACAUGUCUCCGAUUGGUGGGUUGGCCCAUGGCAGGUGAAAACCUUUUUUUGAUUGGCUCAAGGCAAGGUAUCAAAUCUGAAUUUGCAUUUCACUUGCUUAAAGGGGAGGGGGGAGAAGCCCAGCAGCUUUCUAAAAAUCUGUUUAGGGGUGUGCGUAUGUUCCUGUGUGCCUGCUUUUGACUGACCAGUGGAGGCCCCUUCCUGUGCCUUUUUUACUUCACGCACUCUGAGGAAGAGGAGCUUAGAGAACCCCAAACUUUUUGGAGGGGAAAGGGUUGGGGAGAUGGGUGCGCAGAGGGUUGGCCAAACGGAGAAAAUAUUUGUCCUUUAGUUUGGGAUCAGAAAAGGGAAUUUUCCAAUCAGCCACACCUCAGUGUUGCGGCAAAAUAAUUCUUGGCUCCCCUGGAAACGCACUAGCAAGGUAAGGCAGAGCUGCUGCUGCUGCUAUUGCCACCACCCUGGGCUUCCUGCUGACUCUGGGCUACUCCCAGGGGACAAGAGAUUUGCAUUGACGUCUGGGGCUGUCCAGAGCUGAGCCCAGUAUGGGAAGGACCUGCCUUCUGGAAGCUGCUGCUCCCUGGUGCUUGGAAAGGGAACUCAGAAGAGCUUAGCCCCACGCCUGAGUGACAACCUCUUGGAGACUCAGCUCAGCUGAGGUGGUGUGGUGUGCAGAAGGCAGCCGUCAGACUGGGGGGUAACAUGUGCCCAUUCGCAUUUAUUUGGACAAAAAAAAAUGCGUGGCAGCCUGGCUGUGUGCAGUAAGUAUUUGCCUGCAUUCUUUGACUCCUUCAAACAUCGGAACUGGAUAGAUGGUUAUUGAACCCAGCCAGCUGCUGUGCCUUCUCCAUUCUGUUCCUGCACACCCCCACCCUUGGUCCUCCAGAAGAGACGACUAGAUCGAUUUUCUCUUGCUGCCAGAGAGCUGCAGAGACACUAGAACUCAGUGUUCAGCCCCCGCACGUCCCCCUCACAUUUAGAAGAAGUCAAUUUUCUCUAAAGUGGAACCAGAAACCUGUGUCCCUCAGUGCCUAAUGUUAAUGGUCCAAAUGGAAGGACCCUGUUUGUCCUCAUUGCCCCCAGCAGGGAGGCGAGGCUUUCAGUUGGCUGGCUGGGGGAGGCUGGUGCUUGCCAGCAUCUAGCAUGGUUCUCUGCCAAGUUCUAGCUCCAAAUCUCUAGACUGGUUGGAACCUAGACUAUAUAUAGCAUUGUGCUAAGCAGUUCUUAACAGACAUGUCUGUCCUCCCCUGUGGAGAGGAGUACUUCUAUCAGACAAUCGGAACCUAGAGAGUGAGACCAUCUCUUAGGGGCUUUUCAUUAUGGGAGUGGUGGGUGGGCGAGUGUGUGUGUGUGUGUGUGUGUGUGUGUGUGUGUGUGUGAGUGUGCGCAUGUGCGCCUGUGUGUGAUUCAGGGCUGCCGAGCUUUCUCCCCCUUAUUUCAGAUGCUGAUGGAUUCAGAGGUCAUAUGGAUGAGGGUACUGAUGUGGGAAGAGCUGAUACUUCUCAGUGGGUUUGGAGUUUGGAUGAGGAGAGACUGGGUGCACGAUGUGGCUGAAGGCGCAGUGUGACCCAUGGCGGAGCCCAGCCUCCGGUGCUACAAAGCCACCAACUAUUCUGUGCCAUCCUGUGACCGAAAGUGCUGAUUGACGUGAUAGGAUCCUGGUCUUGUCGGUGACUCAUCACCAGGAUGCUUAAUGGAAACCAGAUGCAGCGUGGAAAAUAGGAUUUAACUGCUCUCCUGCCCCCCAGGUAAGUCAGGUGUGGGCUGCCCCCUUCUCAUCUUCCCCAAACCCCUUGUUUUCCCAUGAAGAACGUUUCCUUUAUUCAGUGAGGAAUCCUUAAACUCUUCAUUCAGAAUCUCCCAAACAGUUGCUCUCUUCUUUCCAUUCUCUUCCUCCUGGCUUUUCUGUGAAUGGGCUUCGUAACCAGCAGAUACUCGGGGAAGAGUGGCCAGUCCCAGGGACCAGGCUGCCGGCAUAUGUGGAAGAUAGCUGGGGAGGCUGCUGGGUGUAGCGGCUGGCAGACCAGUUGGGCAUCCCACAGUGACUGACCUGAAACUCUCCUCGGCCCCCAAUACCUGGCCCGAGGUUCCGGGUUUAACCCAUGAAAGUCCCGGGAUCCUGCCUGGGGCUGGGGUAUCCUUCCCUGUGCUAUCAGGGGAUGUCCUUUCUUACUUGACACGCCUUUGGCCUUGCCGGCCUUAGUCUGGGGCACAGGUGGCAACACCAGGCCGGGGGACCAAAUCCGGCCCCCCACCUAGUUUUAUCUGGCCCAGCACCUUGUUUCUACCAGGCAGCAGCACUGAGCUCUCACUUAACAGUUAAGUAGUUACAUUUAUAUAGUCCUAAAAAAUUAUCUUCGGCCCUUUGAAGGCAACUGCAGAGCUAAUGUGACCCCUGGUGAAAAUGAGCUUGACACCCUUGGUCUAGGGCGCUGGUCUGGAGUUUAGCCUGUGGUCUGGGCCACAGACUUUGGAGCUCUUCCCUAUGUCUUUUUGUGGGGGUGGGGGGCACUUUGUUCCUCCAGGCUGUUACUGCCUUCGCCUUUAACAAAAAUUCCUAGCCCAGUACGCCAUUGCAGAGCAUCUGUAGACAGUCGAUGUAGAAAUGUUUUUUCUCUGCCUCACUUGAUAAUAAUAGCAAGGGUGAUUAAAAAUGAUGACGGCCUACAGCACUGGGGAGGUCUGUCUCACAUGGUAGAGACAAUUCGGAAAGCAGACUCUAGGCACUUGCCGUGUAGCCAGAAAAUCUCUCCCCUACCAAGUAGAUCCCUGCAAUGUUCUGGACCAAAAGGGCCGGUUGGAAUUAGCCAAGAGCAGAUUUACCUGGGGUCUAAAGAUAAAAGGGAAAGGGUGCUACGUAAUUUUAUGACGCUUUUGGGGAAAUCAGGAGGCAACUGUGGGAUCCUGCUGCCUGCUCAUAUGUCUCAGGGAAGACUGGCCAGUUCUGCCGUGCAAUGUCUCACUUUCCAUCCCCUCCGAAACAAGUCUAUGAGUUGGCCCGGAGUGGCCUGAGGUCCUCACACUGAGAAACCCAGGGCUGUUUGGAAGAGUCCGGUGUCUUUUCCUGCAAGGAACUUGACAAGUCUCAGCCCCUCCAGCACUGAUGUAGCAAGGGGUGGGUGGCUAGGGGUGUUGGGUCUGGAGCAUGAAUAAAGAGGAGGGAUCAACUUUGGUGCAGCUGGGGCGAUGAAGAGGAGCGGGCCAAGUCCCUCAAGAUGUGUCGGCCCGAGUCUGGCCAGCGCUGGCUGGACAGCUGGAGCCAGACGGAGCUGCUGGCCAUGCUCGGAGCCUCCGCUCUCAUGCAUGGUACGUCCCUGGGCCUGGCUGUGGGUGACCACCCCUCCCAUUCAUAGCCCUGCCUUCAUCCAGAUUGGGGUGACUGGGGUGGCAAGCAAAGGGGUGUUUGGUUUUGCUCCUUGUGACGCAGUUGUCCCUGUCACCUUCAGUGUUUCUGGAAUUGGGGUUGGUGCUUCCCUGUUGAUUUUCCCGUUUGUGUCCCUCACCUAGUUCUUUUCUCCCUGCUUACCAGCCUGGCUUCUACCGACAUGACACGGGGCAUUAUGUGUCGCAAGUCAGGCUGGCAGAACAGUUGACACCUCCUGCUCGGGGCGGGGGGGGGGGGCGGCAGGCAUAUCUGGCACUUCUUUCUUGACCUUUGGAUCCUUGUGGUCUGGAAGCCAGGAGGCAGGGUGGGGCCUUUCCAUCUGAGUCCAGCAAAGGUUAACAGCUCGUGGCACUAGAACUGUGGUGGUGUGGCUUGGCCAGCGGGCAUUGGGGGCGGGGCUCUGUCAGGGGACCUGAUUGGCCAGCACCUUUUCAGUUCCAUUGAAUUCUGGUCUGGUCAGGGCUGUGAAUUGUUUAAUGCAUGUCUUGGCUCUGUCCCCUGGCACCAGUGCCCCCAAGGCUGCAGCCACAGCUUUCGAGAGGAUCCGUACCUUGUGCUGGUCACUUUUUUUGGGCACGUUGCCUCCCUGUGAGAUAUGUAAGAGAUACUGUCCUUUUCCACUAGCUGGCUUUUUGUGGGAGGUCCUCAUUGUGCUUUGCUUUUCUAGGACUUGGGAGUGUGUGUGAGGAAGGCAGAGACUGGGUUUGGUUUAUUGCCUGCUCCUUCAACAGGAGCUGACUGGGGGCUGAUAAAGGCAGGGAACACCUCCAGACCUCAGAGCCUGCGCAGAACCUGAUGCGGUCAUGUGGAGCCGGGGCAGGGGAGGAGUGGGGGUUGAGGAUGGAGAGAGCCCCGUGGAGCUGUGCAUUGUCUGACCACAGGACCGAGGCCAGGAGGUCGUGGGGGGCUGUACCCAGUGUUCAACCAGGGCUGCCUCCUGUGGCCUGGAAUGGGCACGUGUGCGUGGAGCGCAGACUGGGGUCUGUCAUGGAGCAGGCAGGCACAAGAUGCGCACCCGAGUUCUUGGUCUCAGCAUGCAGCCAGAGAAAGGGAAACCGGCUGCUGUGAAGGGCCCCUCUUUGCUUAUGUGAUUUCGUGUCAGAACAGCCAUAUGAAUUACGCGUUACUUCCCUUUGAUAGUUAAAGAAACUGUGAUUAUUAAGUGACUUAACUAAGGUCACGCUUGGAGAGUGGGGUUGUUGAGACUCAAACACGGGCAAUUGCAAAGGCAGUCCUUUUUUUCCCGCCCUCCUGGACUGAAGUCAGAUGUUUUGGGGAGCUAAGACCCUCAGGGGCAGGCAGCCAGGAGAACUUUAAGGAACCAGAGUGAAAGGCCAGAUGCCCAAGGGGAAUUUGCAGUCACCGGGAUCGGCUCUGCCACAUCCCUUUUUGGGGAGGCAAGGCAGAGGGAGACUCCCUGGGGUAUCCACGGACAGGCAGGGCCGAGCAGGCAAAUACAUUCCUUCUACAAAUCUGGAUUCGGCCUCCGCUAUGUGCCAGGGACCAGACUCGGUUCUGGGGAUGCAGAACUCAGCCACGUUCUCGCGUGGGAGAGGUCCUAAAUAAUAAAAGACAGAGUUAAAAGAUUUAUAAAGUAGACAUAAGAAGGGGGAUCCAGAGUAAGGGAGGGAAUUUAAGAGCCUGAAGCACCUCAGCCAUGUGGGGAAGACAUUGAUAGGGGUGCUGGCCCCUCUCCUUUUAUAACACCUAGAAGAAUUAUUCCAAGUCCUGUAGCUUAAAGAAACUUGCAGUGUGUCGGGGAGGACAGUGGCAGUAGACAUUAGGCCUUUGAUCUCCAGCAAAGUAGGGUCUUUCCCAUUAGCCAUGGCUGCUCUUGGCCUUUCAUCUUCCACCCUCAUCAGGCGCCAGCUGGUGUCUCUACCUGAGCCUGGUCACCUUGCCCCCUUGUCCACACAGCACAGGGGAGCACUCAGGUUAAGGCUUUGCCGAGUCACUGGUAAAAUAUGUGCCCGGCCUCUCCUGCCAGAACACGUGAUUCCAGAUUGUCGUGAUAGGGAGGGGACAGGUGAAGGGUAAGGGACAGGAAGUGACCUUGUGUUAGAUGCUUGGAUGAGCUUUGUGUCUUGAGAGGCUGAGGCAAGUUGGCAGCGGGAGAUGUGGGAGGGAUGUUCCCAGUGCGUGCGGCUCCAGGGCUCAGGACCUGUUUACGUGGAAGUGGAAGUGGAGCAGCGGCUGGCCCACGUGAGCCAGGCCACGUGAGUGCUUCUCUCCUUGCCCCUGGUCACAGCCCCCCCCCCCCCAACACCGAGACUGCCAUCUGCUGCUAGGGGCCUGGUGUUGCACAGGCUGCAGUGUGCCGGGUGCAGUGUGCCGGGUGCAGGGAAACUGGGCUUAUGUUACUUGGUAUAGAAGAGUCAGCAGACCUUGGCGCUCUCAGUGAAAACUCACUUUACCUCUUUGGGACCCACUUUUAUAAUCUGGAAAAUGAGGGAGUUGAAAAAGAACCUCUUGGAACAUUACUGCCAUUUCUACACGGGGGUCCCUGGAUGUUUGUGGAGGUAUUUCUUAGCUAGAAACUCGGGACAGGGAAAACUAGACCUGAGUUAAAGAAGGGAGGGAUCUGGAAAACCUGUGGGCAGCUGCAGCCCUGUUUUAUGAAGAGCCACUUGUCAUCAGUUAGGACAGGUAGGUGGAGACACUUUUCAAAGGACCCCCCCACCCCCAAGAAAUAAGUGGGAGGGGCUGGAGAUUGCGUGAAGGGGUGGAUGAGGAUCCUCCGGGUGAUGGGACAUGGACUCCGGCUCCCACCAAGAGGCCCGUCUAGAGAUGAGCCCAGCCUGAGGGAGUCGCUGGGGGUUGGCUGUGCAGGGGCUGGCUCGAGGCGUGUGCUCUAGGGAAGAGGAACGUGCUCUGCAGCUCUAAAGCCCUGGAGAGAGGCUGGGCCUGCAGGGUCCGCAUGACCUAUACCUUCCCUGCGACAUCUGCUCGGGGUCUGCGCCUCUUACUGUCAGGAAGUUCUCCUUUAUGCUUAGACUCUCUUCUCGUGUGGUUGUUUAAGCCCUUCUGUUGAGAGAGCGAGAGAGGGAGAGGGAGAGGAAAAAAACAAAAAUAUAUCAGAGCCACGGGUUCCAUUUAGGCUUUUUAGUCUUGAGUCACUAGUUAAAAGGUAGCAAAAAUAAAACAUGCAGGAAAGGCCAGGGUCCCAGGUCCUCCCAGACUGUUGUGCACGACCAGCUCGAGGCCAGGAGGACUGGGGUCCUGGGCUGCCCUUCCAGGGCACCUGCCGUCCCCAGUGUCUGCUACUUCUCCCAGGCUGCCUGAGAAGGAGACCCUGGGCCUGAGGACGCACACUGUGCAACCCACUGACCAGAGUGCAGAGCUUUAAAAAUAGCUACAUUUCUCCGAGACUCUCCGCUGACUAGACACUUCCUGGGGCUUCAUCACUGAGAGCCCAGCCCCUCCACCCCACAGUGAGGUCACGAACAGGGGUUUGGGCUGGGCGCAUUGUCUCCUGUGUACACUGUGAUGUUUCACAGUUCUUCCACAUUUUCCUGCUCUCUUGGCUCGCACACAGCCCUGCCAGGGUAGGUGGUGUUAUUCCUGCAGUGGGUGAACCUGAGCCAGAGGAAGUCCUGCAGAAAUCUCACUGCUAGUACCUGCUUCAUUUGGGUCACCCACCCAGGUCCCCUGACUCCGGGGGUCAUUUCCCUGGGCUCUGGUGGGUGUUCCUCGCUGAUCAGUGGGGCAGGGGCAGGGGUGGGGAGCAGGUCUCUGGCAGUUGACUUGAUCUCUGUAGUUCGUAGGUCAGGCCCCUUCUCCGAAUAUCCGGAUUCUCCUGUUCCCGGACUCUCUCAAUGCCUCGGAGCUCUUGUGAAAAGGGGCUGGCACUUCUUGGCCAGGAAGCCAUUCCCCAUGCGUUCCUGGUGAGGUUUCUAACAUGCUUCACACCGCACUAACAUCUGUGCGGCACUCGUGUGCAUAGAGUCUGGCUCCUGCUAAGUAGCUCUGUUAGAAAUGAGGCCUUAUCAGGGGAUCGUUGAGGUUUUUUUCUGACGAAUGUAUGAGAUAUGCUCAGAGUUUUGCCCAGGACGUGCGUGUGCUGUGUACAUUACCUCUUUGCUGGUGAAUGUACAACACCUGCUGGAAGAAUUGGCUAAUGUGCAGCGUGAGGUUAAGAUGCUGGAAGCAGGCUUCAGCCCUGAAUGUUUGCUUCAUGAUUGACUUGAAGCGACAGACUUCACCCAUGGAGAGGAAGGUCGGGUCAGAGAACCCCUGGGCAUCCGUUCCCCGAAUUGUGAGCAUGACCCCACACUCUUUAUAGGGGUGCUGAGGCAGAGCAGGGAACAGCGUGUUUUCUUGGCCAUGUAGUCCUCUGAGUGAUCUUCAGUCGAAUAGACCCAGAACUUGCGUGAAGGGGAAGAGAAGUGUUUUACUUUUAUUUAUGUCACCUUUAGCCAGGCUUUCUCUUCAGGCGUUCCUUGAGGAAGGCUCAGGGUUGGCCUGGGGACAACACGCAUGCCUUUGUGAAGGUCCGUCCAUCCGUAGCCCCUGGAUCCAGCCUCGGCUGGCACAGAGGCCCUGCGAUGGGGAACCCAGGGGGGCUGUUUUGGUGGAGGAAGGCUUCGGUAAGGCCACCUGCGAAGCUCUGUCGUCUUGGAUCCAGUUCUGUCUGCUCACCUGGAGGAUGGGAAGGAUAACUGCACCUGCAGCAGGGAGGGCGCCUCAGUCUGGGCUUCAGGGAGAACGUCAUCCGGUUUGCCGAGGGCUCCUGAGGAAUGACGAGUGCUCUUUCUCUGAGGGAGGGGGCUGCAGAGCCUUCCAGUCCCAGGUCUCUGGGACUCUGAGACCACCUGGGAGAGCGUGAGGCUUGGGUGCCAGGGUCUAGGGUGUGCUGCACUCUGUGUCUUCCCUUCCUGCCUUUGAGACAAACCUAAGCUGGGGGAGGGGGGCACACAAGCAGGGGCCCUGGAGCCCUCACCUUAUGUCCCUUGCAGAGACAACUCCUGGAACUGACCCUACAGGGCUCAUUUUAUUUGCAAAUGAAAACAGGACAGAGGCAUGUUGCCCCUUAUUCCUACCAGGAAAUCCCUGAGCUGCUCUAAGCCUGUCUUCGCACCACUACUCUGACUUCCCCCAACCCCAGGGACCUCUGCGAGGCGUUGGAGAUGUGGAGGGUGGGGCAGAAGGCAGGGCCAGACAUGGUUUGCUGGGAAGAAGGUAAGAGGUAGAAGAGGAAUAUCUCAGGCAGGUCCAUGGCUCGGCGAACACUGGCGUUAACCUGCUGUGCUGAAGGCACAGGUGUGGGUUCAAAUGGGCAUAGCAUUCGGAGGAAACCCAAAGUCUUAAAUAACCCAGUUAAUGAUUAAAUGAGGGUUGUAUUAAAUAUGGAGAACCAUAUAUCCUUUUUUGUUAUCACUCCUGCAGCUUUGACUUUGAAUGGCCUGACAGGUCGGGGACAUUUCAGGGGUCCCUCCUGUCUGUGUAAGAUCAUGCUGCUUUUAUGUUGACUUUUGGUCUCCUUUCUUUUCUGGUUUUGCUCUCAUUCCUUCCUUGAGUAUAUAUGAAUAUUUGUCCAUUCAUUUGUGGUGUUAUUCCGGGGCAGGAGUUGAUGUAUUGCUUUUAUUUUGAAUGUAAACAAACUGCAAGGUCACUGCAGAAAUGAGCCACCUUUGAGACGGGGCAGGUGUCCUGCCCAGGCAUCCAGACCCCCCCCCCCCAGAUGAUGGUCCAGAGUGUCUUUGCCAGCACUGACUCUGCCCACAUCAGGCAGCCUUUGUGGGGGGGGGGGGGCUGCUCAUGCAGGAAUCCCCAGGACAAUGUAGCUGUUUUUUUUGCAGCUUGAACCCUGAGGAUCAGCCUUGAAAACCUGAGACCGUGUGUCACCCUGCUAGCUUAGGAGGGGACCUGGCCAGGGAGGAAGGGAACACAGGCUUCUGGCAACUGGCCUUUCAAGACAGGUGAACUCUGUUCAAAAAGGAGUUUAUUUAAUCUUUUGGCCCUAAUGGAAGUUAUUUGUAUUUUCUCUCCCUCUCUCUUUUCUCCGUCAACUCAACCACCCCACCCCCCACCCCCGGCCCUGCGACCGGCCUCCAAAAGAAUUUAAUCUGCUGGACAACAAACAAUACUGUUAUAAAACUUGGAAAACAAGAGGGCGAGGCCUCCCUGACAAGAAGAAGGGCAUGCUGGGUAAAAGCGAGGGAGCCUGCCAGGCUGGGAUGGUGCCGGGCGAGAGCCCAGUUGGCUGGGUACCUGGACGCCCUCCCCUGCCUAGUCCCCCGGCCGUGCCAUCCCCAGUCCAGAGGGGAAGGAACAGAAAUGAAAGUGGGGACGGAGAAGCGCUUGAAAAGGGGAAGUUGUGCGCGUUCUCCGUCUCUGAUCUGAUGGGAACGCACUAGACUGUGAAACUUCCUCCUCCACCUCCCGCCCCUCCCCCUCCUUUUCUCCCCCUCCGCCCGCCCUCCCUCCCUCCCCUCUCUCUCCCUCCCCUCCCCUCCCCUGCCCUCCCCAGUCCUCCUGCCUCCUCCCACCAUUCACUGUUCCAGGUUCCGAGACUGGCAGACAGAGGCCAUGAUAACAAAAUGAGGCUGGCCUGGUGAUGUAGGCACAGCUACCAGCCCUGCCAGCUUCAGGGGAAGCAGGAGAGGAAGGUGCUUGAGUUGGCUUUGGACUCUGGACCUACCCUCUGCCUGCCCAGCGUCCCUCCCCACAACUAGGGAAGUGGAACCAUGUCACAGGGUGUGCCCCCGUCCAUGUGCUCAGCCAGGUGUGCGCCCAGGUACUGGGUAGAACCGCCACUCGGAGGUUAGUGGGUACCGGGCCGGGCUUCCUGGUGCUGGUGGGGCCUUGCUCCCGGGAGGAUGUCUGAUUUGUAGAGAGGCCCCGCUCUCCCUCAGGGGCAGUGAGGGCUGCCCACCAGGACAGGGCACGCCGAGGGGGGGGCCUGUGAAUGGGGUGCCCAUGGAUACUGUUGUCUGGUACUUACUCUGCCUCUGGAGGUGAGGAAGCAGGGCCCUGGGGCCUCUCUUCCUCAACCUCCAGAGUGAGAUUCCACCUGAGACUGAAGUUCACUUCUGAGACCAUCUUCAGUGGGCCUGGGAGAUGGUUUAGUGGUUUUCCUUUGGAUCUGCAUUGGCUUGGACCUGGGAACUGUGUGGUGGGCGGUGAGUGUGUGUACCAGACCCGAGGUCUGCUCCCUGCUCCUCCUGCAGAAAACACUGGCUCAGGUCCGUGCCCGCCCUCCUUGGCUGGGCUGCGCCGUUCCCUGGGGCCACGGUGACUUCCAGGCUCCCAGCUUCCCUCUGUCCCUCCUCCUUCCCUUGGCUCCCCACUGCCUCCUGCUGCCUCCCACGCUCCACGGGACGAAGGCCUGGGGAGCAUCCUCCCCUCCAGCCCGCCCGCCCGCCCGCCUGCCCACCCGCCACAGGGUUCCCUGCUCUGUACUCAGUGGGAAGUUUUCAGACGCGGGUUCUUGCUGGUGGUGUUGAGAAAGGGACAGAGAGCCUGACUUUGUGGAGAGCCGCUGCCUGGAGACACAGGUCUGCAUACCCGGCCUCAGGGGAAACCAGUGCUGCUGAUGCUGGGCCUGCCCACCACACUGAGGAGGCUGUGACUUCUUGCCCUGAAACCUCAGUGGGGUCUUGAGGGGCUCAGUGCUUCUGGAGCAUGGUAUUCCUGCUUUGGGAUCUGGGGUCUGGGAAGCGUGGUGGUCCCUGUGUGCUAAGCCUUCUUUUGGGGGACAAGCUGCCAGAGAGAGAGAGAGAAAGACCUUUUCACGUUCCCCUCCACCCCAGGCUCCCAUGCCCAUGCCCUUCAUUUUAUUAACCUUUCCUUUGAUUCAUUAACCGCAGCUAGUUGGCAGAGGCCUCACCCUGACGGCUUAAGACAAAAUGUCCAGGACACAGGGCCUGGGCUGGAGCAGGGAGUGACAGGAAGUUGGGCUGGGCCUCUCAGUCCAUCCGUUCAAUGGUCUGGGACUGAAGGCAGAAUGUUCUCCUUUCAGAAGGGCAUCCCCAGGCCCCUCUCACACCAAGGCCAGUCUUCCUCACGGCCAGGAGCCUGAAACCAGCAUUCCCAGAGGCACGAAGAAGGAUGAUCUGGGCCCUGCUUCCGGCACCCCUCCCCCGCUCUGGCUAGAGCUCUGGCUCAGUGGCGUAAGUAGCUGUGACUCAGCAUCCAGCCCCGUUGGGAGGGAGGAACUGCUGCCUCGAAGGCACCUUCUCUGCGUUCUGGAUUUGAACACCUCGAGGUCGCGCAGGACGUGGCGGCAGCAUUAGGGUCUCUGGGGUGAAUAUCUUUUUGUUCCGUGGGUUUGGUUUUGGAUUUCAUAAACAAGAAUGCCUCCCCUUCCCAUUUUCUCCCGUGGUAUUUUUUGGGCACUGUGCCACAUGUGAUAUUUAGGACUUUAAAGGAAACAGCAUCCUUUAUGGAGUGAAGUAGCAGCUCUUGUCACAGUCUCCAGACUGUUCUGUAACCAGUAGCCGUGAAUUGUAUUUUUAAAACAGCGUAUCAGGUUUUGCAUGCCUGGAGACCAAACGUGGCCUCUGCAGGCCACUCUGCUUCUGCCGUGCGCUGUCUCCAUUUCCUUGUCUGAGUUUCCUGCCGGCCCUUGGAGCACUGAACGUGCCGUGACCAGCCUGCCCGGCUUCCUCAGACGAGCCCUCUGAGGCCCAUUCCAGGGAGGUUCUCCCAGUCUGGGCUGAGCAGGAAGUGAGGCCACUGAGUCUGAUUCACUGCGUGGUGACCUUUCCUCCGUGCCCGGUCCCUGCUCAGGCUGAGGAGUGUCCUGGCUGUGAGGGGGUGGGGCGGACAAACCCGCAAACAGAAUUGGACGCAGAGAUGCACCAGGGCUGCAGUUGGGCUCCCGAAGCCCUUUUUCUGCACAGUGGCACCUCCCAUGGUGACAGACCCACUCCUCGGGUGGGCGGUUUUUCUCUCUGGGCAGCCCACCCAGCCCUUUGCUGCCGGCCAGUGUGUUUGGGACCACGAGGCCAAUGUGGGAGGAUCCUGCCACCUGCAGGUGACAGCUGAGCCCUCAGCAGGCUGGGACUUUCCUGGGCUGGGCCUGGGUGACACUCACACCCAGUGCAGGUGGGCAAACCGCUUCCAGCCUUCGUCAGGCCACCGGCUCGGUCCAGGUAGGAAACAAAAUCAGCAGCUUGUUUCAGGUGAGUCACUGAGCAGCAGAGCGAGAGGGAAGCCCGGGUCUGUGGGGAGAGCUGAGACCUGAACAGGCCCUUUCAUCCAACAGGACUGGAAAGGCAGAAGGUUUGGGGACUCAGAUUACUUUCUUUCCCUUCUUUAGAGUGUUUACAGCGAUGCACUGUUAAUGAUUUAUUUAUCUCUUCCAGAGAACUAAAAGUAUUUUGACCCAGAAGUUGGGGUCCCUAACUCUGGUGUCCCUUCACUCGUAGUGGGGCAGGCCCCUGUGCUGUGGGCAGCCCAUGUUCUGAACUCCCGGCCGACGUUUCCUGGGGAGCAGGAGAGACAUUAAUUAAUCACCCUGAUGAUCAAAUGACAUAAGUGUGUUCUGAAGGAACAGAACUAGAUGCUGUGAGAUGUGACUUAGCUGAAAGCUGGGCUGGGGGCAAG